GCCGGUGUGAUGGAAUGGUAGACGUAGCGGAUUCAAAAUCCGCCGAUGGCGACAUCGUGUGGGUUCGAGUCCCACCACCGGCA
rnacentral:tRNA from 1 species